rnacentral:tRNA from 161 species
GGCGGGGUAGCUCAGGUGGUUAGAGCAGCGGAAUCAUAAUCCGCGUGUCGGGGGUUCAAGUCCCUCUCCCGCUACCA